AAAGACAUAUGCCUCCCCGGAGAACAAUGGAAGAAGGACGCUAGGGGUCAGCCAUUCUAGUUGAGAAGGAAUGAUCUCAAGCCAGUUGCUAAAGGUUGGCUGGAGUUCAUUCAACGCUCCAUCCUCCCCACUAGCAAUCGCUCUGAGGUCACUGUGAGGCGAGCUGUGAUGAUCCAUUUCAUUAUGCUUUACAAUGAAGUGGAAGUUCAUCAGUUAAUCCCUUCUUUUUAGGAGGGCUUCGUUAGCCUUUCUCUGUUUCUCCCCCAACAUGUUUGAUGUAUCUGCAGUUGGUAUUUGCAAUGGACUUACAUUACUGGAUUUAAUAAUUAACCAGAUUCAGACCCUAUACUCCAAGUAUGGAUGCAAGGUUCCAUUGCUUCUUUUGAGCAAAGAUGACACCCAUGACAAUACUCUAAAGGUGUUGGAAAAGUAUCAGGGAUCAACUGUUGAUGUAUAGAGGAUUAAGCAGAGGACAUCCUUUUUAUAACGGUGAUAUUUUUCGUUGGGUGAUGACUACUGGAACCCUUGAUUUUUUACUGUCACAGGUAUGAACUUCCUUUGCAGUUGAGCACUCUUCCUUCAUUUGUCCCUACCCUUUAAAAUGUAUGAGCAAGAUCUGUAGGAACUUGGAUGGAAUUACUUACAACACAAGGCCAUAAUUAAAAUGUGUACAUAUAUGUGUGAUGCACUUAUAUCGUUUGUUACUUGUUGACUAGGUUUUUAAAUAAUGUUUUCCAAGGUAAGGAGUAUAUCCUUUUGAUCAACGAGGAUAAUGUGGCUACCGUCAUUGAUCCAAAUAUACUAAAUCAUUUGGUGACAAAUGAUAUUGAGUGUUGCAUGGAGGUGACACCAAGCAAUUCAUUUCAUUUAAUAUUAACAUCUGUAAUAUAUAGCUACAGCCAAAUAUAUGUUUGAAGUAAUAUCAUAAAACUCAAGGUUUGUUAUAUACAUAGCUAAUUAGAAACUAGGAACCUAACACUAAUUGAGUGAAAGAUGGGCUAGGGUGGGUUUUAUAACUAACUUGCCUAGUUGAAAAGUGAAUGCAGGAGAGUGGGCAUUCUGUUAUGAGAGCGAGGUGGGAACAGUAAAGGGCUGCGAGAAGUAGUGAGAGGGGAUGGAAAAAUAGAGACAAAAGAUAGGAACAGAUUCUAGGAGAGAUUCAAGUCUCUCGAAUACUUGAUAUCUUUGUUUUACCUUCUUUUACUGAAUAAUAAUAACCAAUAAUGGGAAAUUGGGUGAUAUCUCACUGAUAUCACUGCAUCUCCCCUACCCUUUAACUACCCCUGGAGAGCCACUGAUAUCACUUAUAUCACUCUAUCAACACUGACCGAGCGGUAGCCACUUUGCUAUCGGCUAUCAGUAUUUAGUAUUCACCUUAAUCCAGCUUACUACCCGAUGUGGGACGUUGGACACCCCAUAAUACCCAAGUCCCUAAGAAGGUACUAUAGUGUACCAUGACAAUAAUAUUCAAUUUGUCAUUCCAAUAUUUUAUAAGAAACCAUUCUUAAUUAUCUUCUAUAAUCCCACAUCGUAUGACACGUGAAGGCAGACUAUAUCAUGGUAUCAAAAAUAAAGAAACUACAAAAGCC